AAAAGAAAUCAACCGAGAUUCCCCCAGUAGCGGCGAGCGAACGGGGAGGAGCCCAGAGCCUGAAUCAGCAUGUGUGUUAGUGGAAGCGUCUGGAAAGGCGCGCGAUACAGGGUGACAGCCCCGUACACAAAAGCGCAUGUGCUGUGAGCUCGAUGAGUAGGGCGGGACACGUGGUAUCCUGUCUGAAUAUGGGGGGACCAUCCUCCAAGGCUAAAUACUCCUGACUGACCGAUAGUGAACCAGUACCGUGAGGGAAAGGCGAAAAGAACCCCGGCGAGGGGAGUGAAAAAGAACCUGAAACCGUGUACGUACAAGCAGUGGGAGCACCCUUUGGGUGUGACUGCGUACCUUUUGUAUAAUGGGUCAGCGACUUAUAUUCUGUAGCAAGGUUAACCGAAUAGGGGAGCCGGAGGGAAACCGAGUCUUAAC
rnacentral:rRNA from 1 species